rnacentral:rRNA from 1 species
GACGAACGCUGGCGGUGUGCUUAACACAUGCAAGUCGAACGGUAAGGCCCUUUCGGGGGUACACGAGUGGCGAACGGGUGCGUAACACGUGAGUAACCUGCCCUCAUCUCUGGGAUAACAGUCGGAAACGGUUGCUAAUACUGGAUAUGAGCUUGCAAGGCAUCUUGUGGGUUGGAAAGAUUUUUUUUGGUUGGGGAUGGACUCGCGGCCUAUCAGCUUGUUGGUGAGGUAGUGGCUCGCCAAGGCUUCGACGGGUAGCCGGCCUGAGAGGGCGACCGGCCACAUUGGGACUGAGAUACGGCCCAAACUCCUACGGGAGGCAGCAGUGGGGAAUAUUGCACAAUGGACGGAAGUCUGAUGCAGCAACGCCGCGUGCGGGAUGACGGCCUUCGGGUUGUAAACCGCUUUCAAUUGUGACGAAGCUUUUUUGUGACGGUAGCAGUAGAAGAAGCACCGGCUAACUACGUG